CAUAAAACAUCGAGGGGGAGGAUGAGAAGCUUCGACAAGGUUCGAGUCUCACACAGUGAGACAACGCGCUUCAGCGCGGCCCGAAGGGUGAGGAACGAAGAGACGAAUAAUCCUUCCCCCACCACCA
rnacentral:sRNA from 1 species